UACGGAGGAUCCAAGCGUUGUCCGGAUUUAUUGGGUUUAAAGGGUGCGUAGGCGGGUUAUUAAGUCAGUGGUGAAAGCCGGCAGCUCAACUGUCGAACUGCCAUUGAAACUGAUAGCCUAGAAUCUAGUAGAGGUAGGCGGAAUGUAUCAUGUAGCGGUGAAAUGCUUAGAUAUGAUACAGAACACCAAAUUGCGAAAGCAGCUUACUAUGCUAGUAU
rnacentral:rRNA from 1 species